GAGAGGUACAAUACACUUGCAUUAUGGAUUGGUUAAUUUUUUUGCAAUGUUUCUGAAUUGUUAACAGUUGAAGUGGCAGUGUUGUUUUAUGCAGUUGCAUACGACCCUUUUGUACAGGUCUCUCUAUAUUCAUUUAUUUUCAGAGGAAAGAGUUGUGGUUGUCAUGGAAGGCUGUGUUAUGAUGUACACAUUGAAAGGACCAGUAGCAACUGCAAAUAUUCGAUAAGUCACCAAAAAACAUACAUUUAGGGGAGAAUAACUGGAACAGUGGCAGCAAAAUGUUGGUACGAGUUUGAAAUGACAGGAAGGGGUCCGAGCAGGAUGCAGUUGGAGGAGGAUGAAUAGAUGCCAAUGAGUUUUGUUAGUUUUAUGUUAUCAUGUGUGACUUGGAGAAUGUGUUCCCAGAUCAAUUGUAUAAUUUGUUGCAUUGCAUGUAAUUUCAUCCUGAUAGUGGUACAAGAUGUUGCAGACGAAGCAGAAAACCUAGUCAUGUUAUGACACUCCAUCAAGUGCGGCUCUGUUGUGAUUUCUUUCAGUGAAGUGGCAUGAGGAAAUUGAUUGUGAUUGCUGUUGAUUAAAGCAAAAAGAUUCUUUUCUUAUUAAGGUACACUGAUAGUUUCUCAUUAGGCAGUAUCUAGUUUUGGUUUUUGGAAGUGACGGAGUUUGUUUCAGGACAAAUGUGUGUGCAGAGGAAGGACAAUUGCUGUUGGAGCCAUGCUUAAUGUGUUGGUCACUACAGGUGUCAUGGAGAAUCAAUAUAUUGGGUUGAAGUUGAUAUUCAUGUGAAGAUGCAAAUAUUUUGUAGAUGGUGGAGCAAAUAAAAGUGGGGCAAAGAACAGAAUUUGAGGGCACUAAGAAGCACACAAAAGGAAUGGAAAUUCAGUACUAACUUGACUAUAACAGAUGUGUAAAGUACCACUAUUAAUAUUUAUGCAUUUUUGGAUUCUGGUCAGCAAGUUGCUGAAGGCAAAUCAAAGCUGGACUGUUGGAAUGGCUGCAGUCUCAUUUGAAAUAUUCUGCUGCAGUCUCAUUUGAAAUAUUCUGCUGCAGUUCUUCAAGACUAUGAGGGUUGUUGCAAUACACCUUAGACUUAAUGGCUCGCGACGCAAAGGUAUCACACACUGACAGAUCAGGUGACAUGGAUGGCCAGCUAUUUCCAAUACCAGAAUGACCUCUUAUAACAUCUCUGUCAGGCCUGAAGUUUGUGUAAGUGCACUCCAAGGUUUCUCCGGCUGUAUGGGCAUAUACUCAAUUUUAUUGGAAGUAAGUAUAGGUUAUUUUCUCCUCAGUUACAGCUACCAAAAAUAUACCUCAAGAUAUAUCUAAUCAUCCGGGCCACUUCUACCUGGUCCACCCUGGUAUUUACGUAUGGUUUUAAUUACAGUGAAUAUAAUACGUAGAUUGUGUUCCUUGAUUUUGUCUAAUGGUUUUUCAUGUAUAAUGUGUGGUACACCAUUCGUAGUGUCAUGCUGCAAAGUAGAGGUAGCCAGUGGGAUGCAGAGCAAUGGAUUGCAGUGAGUGUCAGAGGGUGGAGAGGAGAAUCUAGGUUCAUUAACAAAGAAUAUUUCUAGUAGUUCAUUGAAACCGUAAGGGACAGCAUACUACUGUUCUAGUAUUGAAAUAUUUGGCAGUAUUGCAGAAUAGUUGAGUGUUGUGUGUUACUGAACAGAGUGUAGAGGUAUGUGUUUCAUUAGUUCUGCACCAUCAGUGGAUUUAGCUAGCACUGUAAUAUAUAUUGUGCCACAUAGGAUGAAUAGUCAUCAUGUGAUAUGGAAAACAUUUAUGUUCAGGAUUGAAAUCUUCAGAGGAUUGGUGUAGAUUCUGGUUUUAUUGCACUGAAAGGAUGCUUUGUAUGUGUGGCAGGAAUUUGAUUUUAGCAUGCUUGCUUCGUUACUUGGCUUGCUGUACAAGGUUCAGUCAAACAGUCUAUGCUAAUGUCCAUCACUGGCAUGAGAGGUAUGAUACACUAGCAUUAUGGAUGUAUUAAUUUUUCUUGCUUUAUUGCUGAAUUAUAACAGCUGAAAUAACAAUGUUCUUUUGUGCUAUUAUAGGUGACCUUUUGUAUUCGUCACUGAGAUUUUUAUUUUCAUAGGAAUUAGUUGUGGGUGUAACGGAUUGUUAAUUUAUGACAUACAUGUUGGAAGGCGCAGGAGCAACUGCAAAUGUAUGAGAAGUUACCAAAAAACAUGCAGUCAGAGGAAAGUAGUUGGAACAGCAGCAGAAAAAUGAUAGUAUGUGUUUGAAGUGAUCAGAAGGGAACUGAGUAGUAUGUUAUUGAGUGAGAUGAUAAGAGAUAUGGCAGAUGUAGCAGAAAAGUUAGUCAUGUUAUGACACUCCAUCAAGUGCAGCUCUGUUGUGAUUUGUUUGUCAAGUGGUAUGAGGAGUGUUUGUUUUAGGACAAAUGUGCAGAGGAAAGAGGACUAUUGCUGUUGGAGCCAUGAUGACGUGUGUAAGGUAUUGGUUGCAAUAGGUGUCAUGGAGAAUUAAUAUAUUUGGUUGUUUGAAAUUUAUAUUAUGUUUAGUUGAAAGUACUUUGUAUUUUCUUACAGUUUUAAGUACAGUGAGUGUAUUUUAUCUGUAGUCCGAUCCACGAAUGAUGCCAGUUCAUACAGCUUGAGAUGUGGACACAGAUUUCACCAUUGCCAGUUCCAGCCAAUAGUUGUGGAUCAAUAGUCAUAACGUGAAUGAGAUUCGCUGUGAUCAAGUUCAAAGCAUAUGGAAAAGAUGUAUGUUCAGGAUUCAGUUGAUAACAGCAUUGGUGCUUUGGUUACACUGAAACAGUGCCUCUCAUGUGGUGGCAUAAAUUUCAUUUGAGCGUAGUUGCUCGGUUCCAUGGUUUGUUGUAUGAGGUUCAGUCAGACAUGCUAUGUUAAUGCUUAUCAUUGACAUGAAAGGGGAAAUGGUUGUGGCUAUAAAGGAGGCUGUAUUACAAUGUGCAUGUCAGAAGCAGCAGGAACGACUGUAAAUGUUCAGGAAGUUAACAGAAAACAUACAUUUAGGAAAUCAUAGUUCAACAAGCAGUUACUAAAUUCCAUAAUCUCCCAUGGAAAGAUGAUUCAUAAGCAAUAGGAAGACACAGGAUAAACAGUGAUAGUGUGAAUGAUGAGAUUCACUGUGCUCAAUUUUGAAGCUUAUGGAAAGGAUGUAUGUUCAAGAGUCAGUUGAUCACAGAACAUGUUAAGCCUCUGGUUUUGUUAAACUGAAACAGUUUCUUCCAUGUGGUAGCAUAAAUUUGAUUUGAGCAUAGUUGCUGGGUUCCAUAGUUUGUUGUAUGAGAUUGUCAGACAUGCUGUGCUAAUGUCCAUCACUGGCAUGAGAGAGGAAAUGGUUGUGUUUACAGUUUAUGGCUAUGUUACUGUGUAUGUAUUGGAAGGAGCAGGAACAACUGCAAAUAUUUGAGGAGUUGUUAAAACAUUUGGGUUUAGAAGAGAAGAGUUGGAAGAGCUGCAGCAAAAUGAUAGUAUGAAUUUCGAAGAAAUGGGAAGGGGAUUUAGCAGGAUGCCAUUGGAAGAGGAUGUGAAGCUGUCACUGUUUGUGUCAUGCUACAAGGUAGAGGUAACCCUUAGGUUGCAGAGUAAUGGAUUGGAGUGAGUGUAGGAGGGUGAAGAGGAGGAGAGAUGCAGGAACAGUUUGGCACAGAGUGCUAUUGGGAGCUAUGUCUGAAUCUUUUUGCGUGAUGGAGAGGAAAAGAUAAUGUACCAUAAUAAGGGCUCAGUCCACGAUAUUUGCAUAGGUGAUUUGGCAAAUAGUUUGUUGAGGUCCAGACACGACAUUGCUUAUGCAAGGUUAGUGUCAGUGUGUUAAUGUAAGAAUAAUCUGUUGGCCGUGUAUUUCAGUAAGCCUAAAGCUGACGUAACAUUGUCAAAUGCUACCAUCCAAAAUGUAUCAUUACGUCGCAUGAAAAUGUUUUUAGUGUUGACAAAUGUGUGUUGUGAAAUGGAGUAAUACCACGUAAUUGGUUUGUAGCUAUGGCGUAAGACUCUUAGUCAUUGGUUUUUGUUGGGAUUGUGCUUCGAAUGGCCUUCCUGUAUAUGUAUAACUUGAAAGUGUGCAGCUGGUUUGGUAUGUGUCAGGUACUAACACCGUAGCAGUAGCAGAGAGCAAAUGGUCAAAAUCAAUUUUAUGAGUAGAGUAUUUGCUUUACAGAUAGCACUUUGUAUGAAGGACAAGUGUGGUGUACUUUAUAAAGAGCCAUUUUGGUGGAUGUGUUCUUUGAGCAAAAUUAAUGGUUUUUAAUGUGAUCUGAGAUGAAUGAAGUAUGUGCUACAAUUUGGUGGUUGUUUCACAAGUUUGUGCCAACCUAAUGUGAUAGAUGUAAUUACUGAAGUCUUGUUUCACAAGAGUUAGAACUGACCUAUGCAAAUGUGAAAAUAUCAGCUGGUGCUACUUUUAGCAGCUAGGACAAAGCAUAUCUAAAGGAUUAAUGAUACAAGGAAAAAUGUCAUCAGAUUGUCAUUGAUAGAAUAUCGUAGUAACUGCUGUGUCUGUAUUGUGUAAGUACUGAUAGAAACAGUAAGUAACUUUUAUAGUGUGCUAAUUGCUGUAGUGUGAAGUGGGCAUGUUUAGCUAGGUUGGUGUGUUGCUGACUCUGUGGUGGAGCAGUAAGUGGAUGAUGCCCUAAAAGAUAUAAUUCCCUUUCACUGCUUGUGUGACAAGAUGCAUUGGCAUAUGCAGUUGUGACAACUGUAUGCUGUUGUUUCACUGAUUACAUUAUGUGUGGUGUCCUUGGAAAGUAGGCAUGUUUCUUCUGACACAUACAUAGUCAUCAACAGAGGGCAGUCAGUUGACUUACUGAGUAAUCAUUGUUGAUGCGUGAGGUCCUGAGGAAGAUAGCUCACUGUGUGAAGGAUGUGGUAGUUUCAAAAUUUUGGCAGUGUGGACACAGAGCAUUAAGAUACUGCAUGGUUGAGAAAGUAAAUGUUGCCAUUCACCUGUGACCCAUCUGCAUCACACUGUAGUAACAUUAAAUGUUUCUAUAUUUGAGCGCAUGUUUUAAGUUACAGAAAGUAUUGUGUGUCAUUUUACAAAGUAGAGGAAUGUGUUUCAUUAGUGCUGCAUGUCAGUAGCAUCAGGUAACACUGUGAUAUUUCUUGUGCCUCUUACGAUGAAUAGUCAAAAUGUGAAAGAUGAGAUUCACUAUGCUUUAAAGCAUGUGUAAAAGAUGUAUGUUCAGGAUUCAGUUGAUCACUGCAUUGGUUUAGCCUCUGGUUAUAUUACACAGAAAUCGUGCCUUCCAUGGGGUGGCAUAAAUUUGAUUUGAGCAUAGUUGCUUGGUUCUGUGGUUUGUUGUAGGAGGGUCAGUUAUACAUGCUAUGCUAAUGCCCAUCAUUGGCAUGAGAGGUAUGAUUCACUUGCAUUAUGGAUAGCUUGAUUUUUCUUGCUUUAUUGCCGAAUUGUUUACAGCUGGAAUGGCAGUGUUCUUUUAUGCUGUUGUGUGUUACCCUCAUGUGUGAGUCACUAUGCAUCCAUUUGUUUUCAGGGGAAGUGGUUGUGGCUAUAGUGGGAGGCUAUAUUACAACGUACGUGUCAGAAGGAGCAGAACAACUGCAAAUAUUUAAGAAGUUAUCAGAAAAUAUACAUUCAGAAAAGAAUAGUUUGAACAGUAGUGACAAAAUUGCUUAAUCUCCUAUGGAAAGAUACUUCGUAAGCAAUAGGAAGGCACAAGUAACCAAAAAUAAGGGUUAUUAUGACCACAAUAGAUGGAAUUAAUAACAGAGGAAAAGCUGUCCUCCAUAAAAAUAAUACAACUUUUUGGUCACUAAUGAGUAUGUGCCUGGAACUCACAGUAAAUAAACAUAGUGUGACGUGAAGAUUAUGCCACUGAUAAUCCCUAAUGAUGGAGGUGGGGCAUUCGGUGUAGUCAGCUGACAGUAAUGUGGUACAAAGAAAGUGACAGUAAGUGCUGUUGAUGAAAGAAAAUGACUCUUUCUGUGCUAUGGUAUUGUGCUGGUUUUUAUUAGGCUAUAGCCAGCAUGUUGUGGUUGGAAGUGGUGGGUUUACCAAUGGAUGUUUCAGGACAGGUGUGUGUAGAGUAAUGACUGUUUCUGUUGGAGCCAUGAAGUUUAAUUUAAUGAAGUUAUUGCAACAGGUGUCCGAAGAAUUUGUAUAUUUGCCUAAAGUUGAGACACAAUGUUAUAAACAAAGUAUGAAAUAAAACAUUCUCAAACAUAUGCUUAGAUUUCAGAAUGAGCAAUGAAAGUUGGAAAAUUGAACGUGUUUCCUGCAGCAAUGUUGUCAAGUGUCUACACUCAAUGUGAGAUAUGACAGGAAUGAAAGGGGAUGUGUCAGCUACUAGUUCUAUGCAGCUAAUGAUAGUGGUGAUGAGCAGAUGAUAUGUUUGGAAGAAAGACACAUUUUAACGUCUCACGUCACUGUGGAAGUGAAAUACAAUAUGUAUUUGGCAGAAAGCAACUGCUUUCUUAGAUCCCAACAUAACCACAAUCUCAGAAACUGUGACAUAUUUGGAAGGCACAGUCAAUGAAGAUACAAAUUUUGCACCUGUCGGCUUAGAAAUCAGAAAAGAUAGUGAAGGGACAUUGCAAUACACCUGCUACUACUACUGAAUACCUGGAGCAAGGAAAAAGUUACUGGAAACUGUGUGCUAAACAAUGAGGAAAGUUCGCAAAAUAAAGACAAGGCAACAAGGAACCAACCUUAACAAUCAAGGGAAGUAAAUGCAAGAUUGCCCAAGACUGUUUCUGUAAUUACUUCCAAUGGAAAAUAGCUUCAAAUCCAACAAGUGUGGGUGCGUGCACAGACACCACAGAUGUCAGCUGUUGUUGAUUGAGAAAUUUGUUGAUUGGAUCAGAUCGUGUACUGUGUCUGUGUAUAUUGCAUAAACUGUACAUAAAGUUUUUUCUGUUUUUGAAAAUAGUUGAUCUUAAAUUGUCAUUUACUGUGGCAAUAUUCAAACAGAGAUAUUAAAUGUAUUAUGUAAGAGUAAAUAUAUUUGGAUUUUCCAUUAAACAAAAACAAAGAUGUAAAUUAGUUGGGUAGUAGUACUUGCUGUGUUUGUGGUUUCCAGUCUUGUGAUGGUUGGUAGAGGAACAAGGAUGAUUUGUUGGAUGGUUGAUGAGGAAAUGAAGUUGGAUAUGUUAUUGUGGAGGAAAACUGUUAAUUUAGUUUCAUAGCACUCUGCUGUACUUUCAUUUGUUGCCAAGAGAAAUUUCAGGUCUUUGUGGACAGAUGACCGUGACAUGAUGUUACGGUAGAACUGUUACAUUGAACCUGAGAAUGGGAGCUUGCUCUCUUGAUAUGUGUAUUCAACAGGAAGAAAAAUAUCACAAGGUUGAAUGCAAUAAUUCAGGAUAAUAGUUAAAAUUUGAAAUAGCUAGUUCAUUUGUUCAUAAUUUAUCUCUUAAUUUUGGAAUGCUCUGCAAUUAUAACAUACUGGUACAGGCACGACUGUGGUAUCAGAAUUGCAUGUAACAUCACUGUUUACGAAGUAUAAACCAUAAAUAGAUGUAAACAAUUAAAUAUUGUCUAGAAUUAUUAUUCAAACUGUUGAAAUGUGCUCUCUCUUGUCUUUAGCGGCAUGCAAAUAUUACUGAGCAUUCACAACAUUCAGCACAUCUGGUAUAUGAGACUUUUGAAAAGUGAUAGAAAACUAUUAGAGAUACACUGUUAUCAAAUGUACCUUUAAAAUUGAACUGGAAAACUGGUAAGUGCUUCAGUAAGGACUGUUAGCAGAAUGAUUAUCCUUAACACAGAUGGGUCAUAGGGCAGCUGUGAAAGUAAUAAGUUGUAGUCUACAUAACUUUUGAAAAGUUAAAUGUAGCUUUUCCAAGUAGCUAAUAGUGACUCAUAUUAACUUGUCACUAUGUUAGUAAUAAUUUCUUGACUUCCAUUGUUGAAGUUAAAACAUAGUCCCCAUCAUUUGCAUACUAUUUCUAACUGGUGAAAUAAGCUCCCUGUUUCACAAACCUGUGUAGUAUUAUAAUGUCCGGUUUUCUAAAAAGAGUGAAGCAACAUUUCACAGUGAAAUAUAAGAGAUACGAAUGAUGGUAAUUUGCAAAUAUUUUCUUAAUAUUUUGUGUAUUUGUCAGGAAGUUAAACAUAAUUAAUACCUAUAGCAAACAUUUAAUGAUGCUUCAACUAUUUCACGUCAUCACUUUAUAAAUGAAAACAGAGUAAAUAGUACAGUCUCGUGUGCUUUUUUAAAUACAUUAUUGUUCUUUAGGAAAAGGAGAAUUUAUAUUUUCAUCAGCUAGUUAUGUGAUUAAAAUUUUUGUAUGGCUUGGUUAUGAAGAAAAACAAGGUGAUUGUUUAUGGUGAUGUUAAUAGUAAAUUAAUAAUAUGAACUACACAAGUGAGAAUGUAAUGUGUGAAAGAAAUGCUUCUUAAAUGGUGAAAUUAUGCAGUAAAAGGAAAUUAACAAAUGAUUUAUUUAUACUUGCUCUCAUUUUAGGUUAUGAUGUUGUUGAUAAUUUUGUAUUGUAUACUGGUGACAAAUACAAUGACACAGCUACUG